GUUUUCUUUUCUUUCUGCAUUUCCUCAUUUAUCUGAUUACAUUUAUUCUUUGACUAAAGUUUUUGCUACAGACAAAACGCAGGCAGAGGACAUGGGUGGGGGUCUACUCUGGAAAGGCCUCGUAGGGUCCUGCUUGGUUAUAUUCCCUCUACCACCACCCCCAACCCUGGGAAGACUCACAUCUCAUCACACUCUCCCCCCAAACUGUUCCCCUACUUCUUGCCCCUCUGUAUACCCAUAAAGAAGGACGGGCAGGCCCACUACCACUCAGGCUCCCCAGGGACCUCUAGGACAGCUGCUUCAUCACUGCUGAAGGACCAGGUGCCACCAAGGACCACCUCAAGCCCAAGACUGAGUCACAAAAGCAGCUGGCUCACUUGCCUGGAGCACUGUCAGGUUCAAGGAGGAGGAGCAAUUAUUAUUAAUGUCAAGUGCUCUGCCUCCUGAGGAACAGAUAAGCAAAAUACAGACAAAAUUUAAAUCACCCUUAGGGAAACGCAAGUCUCACACCAGACUUUCUGAGGCCACUGGAGGAGCAAGCCUCCCUGUCCUUCCUGAACUUGCGAAUGUCACCUUAAGGUCUUGAUUGCGUAAGAGCUCCUGAUGGGGAAAUCUUUUAUGAUGCUACUUUAUGCCGACAACAGCUCUAAAUUAGAGGGUGCAGCUGACUGAAAUGAGCUUAAUUUUCCAUACAAAUGUGGGCUCUUGGAAAGAAAUCACUUUUUUUCAGGUCAAAAAUCUAUUUUAUCUCCCCUAAUUAGGAGAAUAUGUAAAGCAAGAAAGGGGAAUGGUGUUCAAUUUGCCAUAAAAAGCAAACCUAGUAGUUUAUAAGAUCACACUUUCCAAACAAGCUCCGGCCUAUUAGAGGGGAUCAUACAUAAUUCAGUACCCACUUGCUACCUCAUGGAUCAUGCAAAUUCUCUCCAAUUACACUUUGAAAAAAAUGAGGUUCAUCUUCCAGCUUUAAACAGGCUAUUAGAAAAGGGGUAGAUAGAAAAGCCAAUGAUUUAAAGUGGCAUCACUGUGAAUUUGAGACGGAGAGGCUUAAACGGAAGAGAGAAAAUGCCUCAGUUCUGAGCCCCAUUUUAAGAUUGGAACCAGCAGUUCAUAGACUGUUCACACCUCCAUCUGUCUACUUCGCAAAGGUGCCUCUCCAUCCAAAGUGAGAACCUUUCCAUUGGGGGGUGCUUCUUGUUUCUGAAAAAGGGAAAGUGAAAGUCGCUCAGUUGUGUCAGACUCAUUUCGACCCCUUGGACUGUACUCCAUGUAAUUCUCCAGGCCAGAAUACUGGAGUGGAUCAUUUCAAAUUGAUCCUUCAUGAGAUUCUCUUCUUGGACCUUAGAGGUGUGUGUGUGUGCUUGUAUGUUUGUGUGAUGGGUGAGAGAGGAGGAGAGAGACAGACUUAGGCAGCUGAAGCUGCAAUAACAAAGUGUGAUACUGGGUGGCUUAUACACAACAGACAUUUAUUCCUGACUGUUCUGGAGGCUGGAAGUCUGUGAUCAGGGUAGCAGCAUGGCCAGGUUCCGGUGAGGCCCUCUGCCAGGUUGCAGGCUCACAUCUCAUAUCUUUACAUGGCAGAAAGAGGAGUAAUGAGCUGAGGUCCCUUUUAUGAAGGCACCGAUUUCAUGCAUAAAGGCUGCACCUCCAUGACCUAAAUUACCUCCCAAAGUCCCUACCUCCAAAUACCAUCAGACUGGUGAUUUGAGGGUGGGGAGUGGACACACAAACAUUUAGUCUAUAACUAGAGCUCAGAGGAGGCAGGGUCAGUUUUGCCGGCUGAGAUUGGCCCAACCAAUUGUCCAGGUGUUGAGCAUGGCCCUGUGGUCAUCACGAUGAGAAGAAGGAAUCUGGGCAGGAAAGGUGCUGUAGAGAAAGUGGGGCUUGAACGAGGCCCUGGAAGACAGGAGAUUGGGAUGGGCACGGGGUAGGCAGCGUGCUGGGGAGGGGGCAACUGCUUGAGACAGACGCAGAGAGAACCGUGUGUCUGGCUAGUGGGAGGGGAUGAAAUUGCCCUCCGGCGGGGUUGGCACCUGGAUAUGGGCGGUGGGGGCCUGGGAUGCUGUCCUAACAGAGGACUGUCCUGAGCCCUGUUCUCCACCGUGAGGCCACCUGUACAUGAGGAGGAGGAGCAUGCUGACCUUUGGCAUUUGCUCCUGACCAGUUCUCUGGAGCCGCUCCAGCCGUGGGCUCUGAGGGGGAAAUGGGGGGGCUGGGUGAUCAAUAAGCAGACCAGGCUGUGUGCCGCCGGGGAGUUUAAGGGAGGUAAUUAAACAGACUUCUCAGGCAAGCGCCCGCACAUGGGGAUUAAUUGCGAUUUAAAUAAUGAAGCCUCCACGGAUAAGUGAAAUACACAAGAAGAGCUUUGCUGAGGGCCUGGCUGAGCAGGGGAGUCACAGCAUAAGCACCAGUGGUGAUGGCCAGUGGCAGGAGAUGAGGCCCCCCCUUGGGCUCUUUGGGGGGCUCCCGGCUCCUCCAGCUCACGUGGGAGGCUCCUGAGAAUGGGGUUCUCCAUGUUUCCUGAGCCCCUUUGCCUUCCACCUUCAAGGUCUCACUGCAGCCUUAGCUCCUCCAGACUAAACUCCACCAGCCUCCACCUUCAUCAUCUUCUAUUCUGGGUCCCUGGAGGGGAGAGGGGGCGCCUGGCCAGUCAGCCUCUCUGGGCUCUUUCCAGCUUGGCCAGGACUUAACUUCUUGAAAACACUCCCCAGCGGCGUCACCAAGCUUCGCAUCAGUGAGGACUCAAGGCAUUUCCCUAAGUGACUUUUCUAGCCUAUUUCCUGUUCCCCUCAAGGCCUUUGGCUCCCUGAUUCCACCUGUCCGCUACAGCUUGGAGCCUCGGUGCCUUUGCACCUCCAGGAUGGCUUUGCCUCCCCAGGCUGCCUUCUAGGCCAGUUAUAUCUCCUCCAUGAAAAAGCACCCGCCUGGCCUCCCCCAAACAAUGAGAAUCCCCCCUGCAUUGCAGGCUGGUUCAUUGUUGGAGGUCUUGGAGAGGAUUGAUGGUUGGUUGACCUCUGAGCUGGACCCAGGCUCCUCACCUCGUCCUAAUCCUUGGAAUGUCCUGCCCGCCAGUCAGUCCCAGAGCCAUUUUGAAGGACACAGGCUUGAGAGAGCCCUGUGUGGUUGAGACCAUCUGGGCUGAAGGUGUGACUGAGCCCAGGGAAGGCCGCUCUGUGCACUCAAGAUGCUGGCGUCAGCUGCAGAGAUCUACUCGUCUUGAGGCACCCAAGACCAGCCUGACCUGUCCUUAUAAACUCCGGGGACCAUCUGCUGGCAGAACUCUGUGAUCUUGCUUGUUCUCCUGCACAGUCCAGUCCCACCUGCUUGAAAGGCCUCCUGGGUGCCGGGCAGAAUAUCAAGACCUGCAAGUGCAAGGCCCUGCACCUGAGCACCUUCUGUCAUUUUGAAAGAAUAGAGGACUGGGGCAAACCCGGACACAGGUCGAGGGCUGGACCCUCGGGGAAGGGGUGAGGAGCUCAAAGCACAGAUCAUGUUGGCUGGGACAGCGUUUCCCAGACUGUGUUCCUAGUGACACCAGCCCCGAGGAUGGGAAGUGGUGCUACGCUCCAGAGAGGGGUCCCUGACAAUGAGUCUGGGAGAAGCACACAUGCUACUGGUUUUCUUAUGGCAAAUCAGCACAUCAGUAUACCAAAGGCUCUGAGAAGGCCUGCAGUUAGGGAACAGGCCCGAUCCUGCCUGAAAAAUGUCCCCCCUGACUUAGUCAGAGAUCCUCUCUCUCAGGGUAUGUUUCAAGACCAGAUUCUGGAAAGCUCACUUUGCGAGGACUUCCUCCAGAAAACCGGGAGGCCCUGACCUGCCCUUAGGUGCAGAGCAAAGAGCUGGGCUGGAGAUGAGAAAAGCUGAGAGUCUGUGCAAGGUAGGGCCUGGAGCCCAUGAGUCUGGGCAGGAGGCAGGGCAGAUUCCAGAGGCUGACCUCGAAUGCCCACGGCUUCAUCUCUUGUCUGCCACAGAGGCCAGCCUGGGUUCCAGUGCAGCGAUUUUUCGAGUGAGCUCUGUUGCCCCUGUAAGUGUGGUCUUGGGGACUGGACAGAUUUCACCCAGACCUCCAAGCCCAAGUAACUGUGUGUGACCCCACCCUACCCAGCUCCAGAUGACCACGUGUGCCCUGUGAGGUCGGAUGAAAUAGCAGGGGGCAUGACUCCCUGGGUGGCAUCUAAAUGAAACACCACAUUGAAAAUUGGAUGUUAGUGUUGGCUAGAGAAGACAGAAAAAAGAAAGCAAGAGAGAGGAAGAGAAAAUAAUCAUUUGACUUUUUCAAAUGUCCUUUGCUAGAAUGAUAGAAUGUGUUUCACAUUCAUAUUUAAUGUGAUUUUUUCUUUUUUUAAUAAAAAAUCCAACUUAUAUAUAUAUAUUAAAAGUACCCGAAAGAUGGCUGGUUUAAUUGCAUUCUUAAAAAAAAUAUCCUGAGUUUUCAUCAGCCAAUGUGAUGUAGUAAACCUUUUCCUCCAUACCUUCUGUUGAGAGGUUAAAAAAUAACUGGAUGCGAGAGUAUUUUGUAAACCAUAAAGUGCUGUAUAUGUGUCAGUUAUCGAUAUCUUACUGCUACUAAUGAUGCACUUUGUCAAGGGCUAAAUGUUGAUGUCACUCCCAAAUUCAUAUUAGAAGCCUUGAUCAAUUACCUAAUGUGAAUAUAUUUGAAGGAGGAGGUGAUAAAAGCUAAAUGAUGCCAUAAGGAUGGGGCCCUAGUCUGAUAGGGCUGGAAAUUUUAGAAGAAGAGGAAGAAACACAGAUAUCUCUUUCUUUCCAUGAACCCUUAGAGGAAAAGCCAUAUAAGGAUGUAGUGGGAAGGCGUCUGCACACCUGAAAGAGAGUUCUCACCAGAAACCAAAUUGGCCAGCACCUUUAUCUUGGACUUCCCAGCUUCCAAAACUGUGAAAAAUAAAUUUCU